UCUGUUGUGUGACGGGGUGAGUACUCCCUCUUCUCCACAACAUCUUUGUAAGACUGUCAUUCCAGGAGAGGGCACUCACCAGCUGUGGGGCAUUACCGAUCAGCGGCAGCUGCAGAUCCUCUAAUCAACCGCAGCAGAGCUCUAUUUAAGAGGAGAGGGAACCACUUCACAUCGCUGGAUGAUUAACUACUCACGGAUACUUGGAAUCGCUGAACCACAGAUGGAUGUACCUACCUGGAAGUCACCAUAACCCGCCUGGAUUACACACUCAAGGUUCACCUCUCCUCCAGCUUCACUUGCCCUCUGCCGCCAUCAUCUGGCUCCCUCUCCUGGACGUACCCCGUCACACCGUUAGCCCUCCCUGCUGGCUUUUGGACUCUUGCCGACUACUUCACACUUGGAUAUCUCCAGGACACUUUUAGUUAGGGUUAAUAAAUCAUUGUUUGAACUUUC